GAUGAACGCUAGCGGCAGGCCUAACACAUGCAAGUCGAGGGAGAAGCCCUUUCGGGGGCCGAAACCGGCGCACGGGUGCGUAACGCGUAUGCAACCUACCUUUCACAGGGGGAUAGCCCGAAGAAAUUUGGAUUAAUACCCCAUAAUAUUAUUGGAUGGCAUCAUUUGAUAAUUAAAACUGCGGUGGUGAAAGAUGGGCAUGCGUCCUAUUAGCUAGUUGGAGUGGUAACGGCACCCCAAGGCUACGAUAGGUAGGGGUCCUGAGAGGGAGAUCCCCCACACUGGUACUGAGACAGGGACCAGACUCCUACGGGAGGCAGCAGUGAGGAAUAUUGGUCAAUGGUCGGAAGACUGAACCAGCCAUGCCGCGUGCAGGAAGAAUGCCUUAUGGGUUGUAAACUGCUUUUAUAUGGGAAGAAUAAGGCGUACGUGUACGUUGAUGACGGUACCAUAUGAAUAAGCAUCGGCUAACUCCGU
rnacentral:rRNA from 1 species